UGGGAGGAGGCUGCAGCAUCCCCAGGUGCUCCUCUCCCAGCCCACAGGCGCAAACACUCCUGCUGACCCAGGGACAGUGUUGGUGCUUCCCGCACCCAGCUUAAAAACGAAGGACUUGACUGUCAAGCAGCCUUCAGUGAAGAGAAUCCAGCAUUCUACCGGCUUUGAGCAAUAGACAAUAACAAAGGACUGAAGUUGCCAGCAGCAGUACUCGCUCGCUAGUCAGGAUAUCCCAGCUGUGCUCCCUCCUCACUGGGCUGACACAAUGCGCCCUGUGCUGCGCUGUGGAUCCCGACUCGUGUGCUUCAGGUCUGCCAGCCAGAGCAGCCGCUGGAUCCACAGCUCCCCACCUGAGAACAAAGUGGGACUGCUGGAGACAAUCAUUGGAUUCUCAGCAUUUUCACUGGCAAUUCUUGGACCAGCUGGAUGGUUCCUGUGCCACCUAUCAAGCUAUAAAAAGAAAUAGAAAACAUCACUUCAAAAUUAAGAUCUAAAGGCUACAAUAAACUGUAAUACUCCAAA